CCUACGGGGGGCAGCAGUGGGGAAUAUUGCGCAAUGGGCGAAAGCCUGACGCAGCGACGCCGCGUGAGGGAUGAAGGUCUUCGGAUCGUAAACCUCUGUCAGCAGGGAAGAACGGUCACUGUGCUAAUCAGCAGUGAAUUGACGGUACCUGCAAAGGAAGCACCGGCUCACUCCGUGCCAACAGCCGCGGUAAUACGGAGGGUGCGAGCGUUAAUCGGAAUUACUGGGCGUAAAGCGCGCGUAGGCGGUAUGUCAAGUCAAGGGUGAAAUCCCCGCGCUCAACGUGGGAACUGCCUUUGAAACUGGCAGACUGGAGUGUGUGAGAGGAUAGUGGAAUUCCAGGUGUAGGAGUGAAAUCCGUAGAUAUCUGGAGGAACAUCAGUGGCGAAGGCGACUAUCUGGCACAUAACUGACGCUGAGGAGCGAAAGCGUGGGUAGCAAACAGGAUUAGAUACCCCGGUAGUC
rnacentral:rRNA from 1 species